rnacentral:lncRNA from 1 species
UAUUCCAAACAAAUAAGAAGGAAUGUCAAGGUAUACUACCAAGAUUCGAGGUUACAAAAUACGGCCACGAAAGGUGGGAGAUAAAAUAUGGGUGUAAGAAAGAGGAAAUCAAAAGUGGAUCAGCAAAGUCAGAAGAGGCAUGUGAUUACAGUUGAAAGGUUUUGAAGGAAAACACACAGAAGGAAAUCCUAUAGUCAAGGAUCAAUUACAAAGACAAAACAGUCUUUUCAAUCAUUCCAAGGCAAUAAAGAGAGACGAAGAGAAACAUCACCAUCGGCAAGAAUACCACAACCAGCCAUCCUGCUUUAAACUAACGAAGUUUUCUUUGAUUUAAAACAGGGGCAAAUACAAUAUUUGUGUCAGGAAAUACCUGGAUGAGAAAAGAAGAAGUCAGGCGUCCACCUGGAGAAUGAGGACAAAGAAUUGAAGAAGUCAGGCGUCCACCUGGAGAAUGAGGAUGAGAAAAAAAGAAAUCAGGCGUCCACCUGGAGAAUGAGGAUGAGAAUUAAAGAAAUCAGGCGUCCACCUGGAGAAUGAGGAUGAGAAAAGAAGAAGUCAGGCGUCCACCUGGAGAAUGAGGACAAAGAAUUGAAGAAAUCAGGCGUCCACCUGGAGAAUGAGGACAAAGAAUUGAAGAAGUCAGGCG